rnacentral:sRNA from 1 species
UACCUAUACGAAUAGCACCAAAGUUCUUC